UUACAGAACGCACCUUGGUUACUUAUAUGUUAAAGGGACCAACAACCUUUUCCAAAUUUGUAGAGGACAUAUCAAUUCUUAUUCUUGAAGAAGAUGGACUCAAUUGAGGCACCAAAACCUCUCUAACACACAAGGAUUCUUCUUCCUCUGAAAAAGUGUUACUCACAUCUACUUCAAAUACUGAUCGGAGAAACACAUAGCUAAAUCAACAAUGCUUUAAUAGUAACAUAGGAAGAAAGAAUAACAAUUGGUCGUGGAAAAGGCUUCUACAAUCAAUCGCGCCCACAGUUUCUAAAUGGAAUGCGCCUUUCGGGAUAAAUGGUUAUGCGAUGUGGCUAUCUCAACAAAUGCAACAAUAGAGUCAACAACAUAAACUGAAAGCUCCCCAACAAGUUCUUCUAGGCCCUCGUCCUAACAUGUCUUCAGUUUCAUCGUUCUCUCAUGCUCAUGGACAUCAUGUUGAAAAAUAGAAACUGGACCUGACUAUGGACUUUGGCUUUGCCU
rnacentral:lncRNA from 1 species